rnacentral:rRNA from 1 species
UACGUAGGUGGCGAGCGUUGUCCGGAUUUACUGGGCGUAAAGAGCGCGCAGGCGGUCGUACAAGUCGCGUGUGAAAGCCCCCGGCUCAACUGGGGAGGGUCACGCGAUACUGUUCGAUUCGAAGGCAGGAGAGGGUAGUGGAAUUCCCGGUGUAGUGGUGAAAUGCGUAGAUAUCGGGAGGAACACCAGUGGCGAAGGCGACUACCUGGCCUGUUCUUGACGCUGAGGCGCGAAAGCUAGGGUAGCAAACGGG